rnacentral:rRNA from 1 species
GACAGAAUCCCCAAGCGUUACCCGGAUUUAUUGGGCGUAAAGGGUCCGUAGGUGGUAAAGUAAGUUGAAAGUUAAAACUCAUCGGCUUAACCUUUGAGGUGCUUUCAAUACUGCUAUACUAGAGGGCGUUAGGGGUUAACGGAACCGACGGAGUAGGGGUGAAAUCCGUUGAUAUCGUCGGGAACACCAAAAGCGAAGGCAGUUAACUAGGACGACCCUGACACUGAGGGACGAAAGCGUGGGGAGCAAAAAGG